GAACCCCUCAAUCUGCCCCUUCUGACCCACCCAGAACCCCUCAAUCUGCUCCUUCUGCCCCACACAGAACCCCUCAGUCUGCCUCUUCUACCGCACCCAGAACCCCUCAAUCUGCCUCUCCUGCCCCACCCAAGAUCUCUCAAUCUGCCCCUUCUGACCCACACAGAACCCCUCAAUCUGCCCCUUCCAACCCACCCAGAACCCCUCAAUCUGCCCCUUCUGCCCCAUCUGACCCACGCAGAGCACCCCACUGCCCCACGCUGUUUGGGACAGGAGCUGAGGGACGCGGGGAGGAGCCCACGUUGUUCUGCUCCACACACCCAGGCUGUGUUCCCAGCAGUUGGAAAUUUCUGAUAGCACCUUUUGGGAUAAUUUCACGUUAUAGGGGUUGGACUUGAUCUCUUGAGGUCAAUUCUACUCCCUGCAAUUCUGUGAUGCUCUGUGUUGGAAGUCACUUUGUCUCUGCGUGGCUCUUGGUUGUUUUUUUCCUGCUCAGGAAAGAGAGGUGGUGGAGAGCCCUUUACCCUGUCAUAUUUGCUCGUCCAUCUCAAGGACAGCUGACAGCGAAGCAUCAGGUCUGCACUCCUUGUGUUUGCUCUCAGAUGCUGGCACAGACCAUGAGGCUCUCCUUGCACAGUUUGGAUACCUGAACCAUCAGAAUCCUGGCGGGUGAAAUUCAUUGCUUGGGGAUUUUGAUCAGAGCAGUGAGUGCGAGAUAUAAACUACUGUGGCUGUGCAUUCUGUGGAGUGAAAAGCAGAGAAAGAAGUCACUCAAGUUAAAGCCUAGAACCAGAACGAAAGCACUAUCUUAUGAUGUGGGCAAUUGUCUGAAAUAUGUCAUGUAGGUGACCCAGUCCCACACCCAGCAGUAAUCGCCAAAUUCCAGGUCAGUAUUGGUUUUGAAUGACUUAAGUUGCAACCAAGAAUGAAGUUGCUUUAUCCCGGUGUUCUUCACCCAGGUCUCAGCAAGCACCCAUGCUGCAGCAUCCUUUGAGCAGUUGUAGCUCAUGCAGCUGUCAGAAAAUGUACUUCAGAUGCCAGUGUAGUUGUUUCAAAGAAGAACAUGUGAGCUGAAGCCAGGUGACGUUUACAUUAAAGUAGCUUGGUGAGUAGCUACCAGCCCAUAUGUGCUUCCAUUUCAGACUUGUCUUCACAUUUUAAUUCUUCUCAGCUUUGCUUUUACACACCAAAGCCACAGUAUCACACUGUUAUGAUUACUAAUAUCUUUUUCAUGUCAAGAACCCAGUCCUUCUCUACCAAAACCGAGUACCCUCACCCCCAUUGCUUCCUCCAUCACUUCCAGGGCAGCUCUGGCAUCUCACAGCAAGGCAGCAUUGUUCCGCUCUCACUGCUUACAGACAGGGAUUGCAAGUUGGUGCAGCUCUCAGGGCUGUGCAGGCAGAUCUGUGCACACACAGAUCAUUCAGGCAAUUAAAGUCAGUAACUGGAGAAGCUGGUGGAGCCCGUCAGCCAUCUGCUUUGUCGGAGGAGGAGGGCCUACAGUGAAGCCCUGCUGGAAGCUCUGUUAGUUAUGUAAAGCAGUAAACCGAAAUAAGAUUGGUGAAUGGGGAGCACUGUAAGGUGAGGCACAGUUUGGGCCAAAUCACUCCAUCUCCUCCGUACAA
rnacentral:lncRNA from 1 species